rnacentral:rRNA from 2 species
GUCGAGCGCACAGGUUUACCUGUGAGCGGCAGACGGGUGAGUAACGCGUGGGAAUCUACCUUAAGCUGCGGGAUAACAGAGAGAAAUUUCUGCUAAUACCGCAUGUGCCCGGAAGGGGAAAGAUUUAUCGGCUUAAGAUGAGCCCGCGUUGGAUUAGCUAGUUGGUGGGGUAAAGGCCUACCAAGGCGACGAUCCAUAGCUGGUCUGAGAGGAUGAUCAGCCACACUGGGACUGAGACACGGCCCAGACUCCUACGGGAGGCAGCAGUGGGGAAUAUUGGACAAUGGGCGCAAGCCUGAUCCAGCCAUGCCGCGUGAGUGAUGAAGGCCUUAGGGUUGUAAAGCUCUUUCACCGGGGAAGAUAAUGACGGUACCCGGAGAAGAAGCCCCGGCUAACUUCGUGCCAGCAGCCGCGGUAAUACGAAGGGGGCUAGCGUUGUUCGGAAUUACUGGGCGUAAAGAGCGCGUAGGCGGAAAAGUAAGUCAGGGGUGAAAUCCCGGGGCUCAACCCCGGAAUUGCCUUUGAUACUGUUUUUCUUGAGUGCAGAAGAGGUAAGUGGAAUUCCGAGUGUAGAGGUGAAAUUCGUAGAUAUUCGGAAGAACACCGGUGGCGAAGGCGGCUUACUGGUCUGCAACUGACGCUGAGGCGCGAAAGCGUGGGGAGCAAACAGGAUUAGAUACCC